CUUGGCCAGUGCCAUGUUGUCUGCUCCCUACUGCACACAUGGCUGGAAAGGAAAAGGGAAGAUGGAGCCGCCAUGUUAGACAUGCCUAGCCCCAGAGGGUAUCUCUGUGAAGCAAGACAAGGUCAUCCUCCACAUCCUCCGCAUGAAUUGACCUCCCCCAAACUUGGGGCCUAACUGUCCAGCUGAGCUCAUAUAUCUUGGUCUGGAGAGCUGCCUCAGACUCUCCAAUGGAUCUAUUCAAACAGCUGCCUCUGUUACCUUGACUCGUCUCAGAUUUCGUCGAACUGAGACAGGUCCUGGCACUAGGAAUGGGAUCAUCUUCAUGCUGAGUCUUGGACACCAACCUGAAUUCUCCUACAGAGAAACUGGACAUCUGCUCUUGAUGGGGUGUAGUGGAUAAGGCAUAGCACCUGUGAUCAGGAGAUCUAGAUCUGAGUCUCAGUUGUGACACUUUUUUCUGUGUUACCUUGGGAAAGUUAUUUACCCUCUCUGAGCCUCAAUUUCCUCACUAAAAGGGGAUCAUGGUACCAACAUGUGUUAAAAGAGUAUUAAAUGAGAUAAUAAGUACUUUGUAAACAAUGUGUUUGUAAUUAAUCAUGAAUCUUAGUUUGAUUAUAUGAUUAUAAUUAUGUUUUUUUCCAGUAAUGGAAAGAGGGCAGGGAUAAAAGGCAGUGAGUGGCCUGAGCUUCUAAAAAUUCUCAUGAGAAGGAUUCAUAGAGGGUUCACCUGGUUCCUUCUAGGAGUUUACUCACAGCCUUAUAAUUUUCAUUAUUUAGAAAAACAAUCACAGAUGUCAUGUAUCACAACUUGCAGAGAACACACCUGCCCCUGAGACAGAGCAAUCAUGAUGAUGGUGGGCAGAUGGGGUCAAUUCUGGGGAACUGGGAUUCCUUGUGGGAAUGGAGGCCAUUUCCCCAUGGGUGACUCACAAUGGCUGAAGAAGGGAGAGGCAAGUAUCUAUUAUACACAAUUAGCAAUCACCCCACAACCCUGGCUCAUGUGAACCCCACCAC
rnacentral:lncRNA from 10 species